rnacentral:lncRNA from 1 species
UAUAUUUCUCUCAAAAAUAUAUAUAUGUAUAUAUUUUAUAUAUAUAUUUCUCUCAAAAUAUAUAUAUUUCGUCUCUCUCUCUCUCUCUCUCUCUCUCUCUCUAUAUAUAUAUAUAUAUAUAAAACAAAGGAAAACAAAGCCAAGAAAUUGUAUUUUUAGCACUGUAUUCGUUUUGGCCUUCACACCUCUGAGGAGCCCAGGGGAAAGACCACAUUCCUCAAUCACAUUGUCAACCAAAGGGUGAAUCUGGGUGAACACGGUCUUGGCAAAUAGUCUGUCACCCCCACCACCUGCCCUCAAAGUAACAUUUACUCUUGCAGGGAAGGAAUGGUGAGUCUCAGACGUGUCGUCACAGUGCAAAAUCCCGGGCUUGCCGUCCCUGCAAGUCACCGUGUCCCCUGACGUGACGGAUCCCUAGGAAAGCUGGUUUUACACCCUCAGUGCAAGGCAGUCGAGGUUAGCCUGGCAGAAACAUCUAUAAAUGACUCACGAGGCAGGAAGAGGAAGCAAAACCAGCCCGCAUCAACUUUAUCUAGAUGAUGUGGAUAAAAUUAUGUCGAGUUUAUGGCUGAGGCAAGGCAUGCUGUUUGCGAAGGCCGAGAGGCCGGGUGGGUGGUAAUUCUCCGUAGGGUGACCGCCCCUCGGAAGGGCCUCAGAGAGACGAUGAAAUGCUCCUUGAUCUGUGCUGACGGGCCACACGAACAACACAUCCUGAAACGUGUGAUUAGGGAGCGCUUCUCCCAAGCGUGUGCGGAACACACCAACAGGCACAUGGGACGAUGUGAGGGUUCCCAGGCGACGAAGCCGGGAGAAAGACCCAGGUCCCACUUCUCAUCUGUUCCCCGACACCCCAAGCGUGCGGUCUAUGGAAGACAGAGGAAUGGAAGGAAGGGCAAGCAAACAGGAAACCGGAUGCCAACAGCGCCAAACAGAGGGUCCUCCUGGUGGGCAGACCUCCUUCCUCAGGGGACACUUAUCUACACUCCUGUGAGUUUACAUCCGAAAGACGCACCGCAUCCACGCAGCUCCCAUCUCCGCACCUCUGCAGGCACUUCCCACUGCCUGAAGUACCUCCGCUUCUCCAAGUCACCUGAAGAUCCACACUCCGCCCUUUGUGAUCCAUGCAAUAUCUGGAACACAGCUAUACUAAGAAAAAAAUCCAUCAUUUAUCUAAAAUUCAGGUUUCACUGGGCAUCCUGUAUGGGCACCUGUAUUUCUCUGCCACAUCUAGCAAAUUUGCGGGUCCUUCAAGACUCAGCUCUUGGGCUCUUCCCGCCCUGCCCCUGCGGCCCCGAGGCCCGGGGGCUCUCUCUACCACCAUCGCACUUCAUCUAGGCUCUGUCGUACACUUAUCUCCCUGGAGUAUGUUCGCUUAUGUCUGCUUUCCUCUCUCGAACGUGAGCCCCGUGAGGGCGUGAUCCAAAUUUGUGUUAUCUUGUCAGUUCCUGAAGAAAAAUUAGAAAAUCCAGGUAAGCAAAAGGGGGGAAAAAAGCACUCAAAUAUGAAUCCAGCACAGCAGGGUCCUGCUUCCAAGCCUCUGGUGGAAACGUUGAGAUCGAUGUGGAAACUGAGACAGUAGAUUAAACACGUUAGAGACGUAGAGAGCCUUUUUAUCCCCAUCUCUCUUCUUCCAGGCGGGACCACGUCGGUCGGCAAGAGGCCCCCGAGAGAUAACCCUGACUCCCAAAGAAGAUCUGCCAUCACUCUCUGGCCAGCCCAUCGGAGGAUCGCACGUGUUCCUGGGUGGGAAGUUCUAACCACAGUCAACGUAUUCCAAAAAGUUGUAAAUUCAUUGUUUCGCCUUGCUCCUGUCU